GACGUAGGGUGCGAGCGUUGUCCGGAUUUAUUGGGCGUAAAGAGCUCGUAGGCGGCUCGUCGCGUCGACCGUGAAAACCCGCGGCUUAACUGGGGAGGGUCACGCGAUACUGAUCGACUCGAAGGCAGGAGAGGGUAGUGGAAUUCCCGGUGUAGUGGUGAAAUGCGUAGAUAUCGGGGAAGGAACACCAGUGGCGAAGGCGACUACCUGGCCUGUUCUUGACGCUGAGGCGGCGAAAAGCUAGGGGAGCAAACGGG
rnacentral:rRNA from 1 species